rnacentral:lncRNA from 1 species
UCUUCUCUAGGUUUUUACUAAGGCUUUUGGCCACAGACAAUGGCUUUAUGUUGACAUUUUCUAUUGGAAAGAAUCAAAUCUGAAGAGACGUAUAAAAGGUGGGAAACCAAUAAAUCAGUGAUGCAUACUAACCCAAGUAUUCAAUUUGGAUUACAAUGUUUUUAUUAUUGUUUAUGUUUAAUCUCAUUCUCUCUUUCGAAACAUCACA